rnacentral:sRNA from 1 species
GCCGGGUGUGGUGGCGGGCGCCUGUAAUCCCAGCUACUUGGGAGGCUGAGGCAGAAGAAUCGCUUGAACCUAGGAGGUGGAGGUUGCGGUGAGCUGAGACCGCGCCAUUGCAUUCCAGCCUGGGUGACAGGGUGAGACUCUGUCUCAA